AUCUCUCACGUAUUCGAUAUGUAUGUUAACAGUAGAUGUAAUGAGCGUGUUAUCGUGUCAUUUGGAAUGAGAUCCCUCUUGUUAUUCACGCGUGUAAGCACUGAUCGGAAUUCGGAUGUUGGCAGCACCCGCAAACAAAGGACUGAUAUUUAGUUUAGUUGGAUUGUUCGAGAAAGGGUUAAGGGCUUUCGCUACUACAGAAAAUUACAUCUUUUU